AAGGUGCUGCAUGGUUGUCGUCAGCUCGUGCCGUGAGGUGUCGGGUUAAGUCCCAUAACGAGCGCAACCCUUAUCGUUAGUUGCCAGCUGGUAAAGCAGGGGACUCUAGCGAAACUGCCACCGUAAGGUGAGAGGAAGGUGGGGAUGACGUCAAAUCAGCACGGCCCUUAUGUCCAGGGCUACACACGUGUUACAAUGGCCGGCACAGAGGGCAGCUACCUGGUGACAGGAUGCUAAUCUCGAAAACCGGUCUCAGUUCGGAUCGAAGUCUGCAACUCGACUUCGUGAAGCUGGAUUCGCUAGUAAUCGCGCAUCAGCCAUGGCGCGGUGAAUACGUUCCCGGGCCUU
rnacentral:rRNA from 1 species